UACGUAGGGGGCUAGCGUUGUCCGGAAUCAUUGGGCGUAAAGCGCGUGUAGGCGGUCCGGUAAGUCCGCUGUGAAAGUCGAGGGCUCAACCCUCGAAUGCCGGUGGAUACUGUCGGGCUAGAGUACGGAAGAGGCGAGUGGAAUUCCUGGUGUAGCGGUGAAAUGCGCAGAUAUCAGGAGGAACACCAGUGGCGAAGGCGGCUUUCUGGACACCAACUGACGCUGAGAUGCGAAAGCGUGGGGAGCAAACAGG
rnacentral:rRNA from 1 species